rnacentral:rRNA from 1 species
AUGAACGCUGGCGGCGUGCCUAAUACAUGCAAGUCGAGCGAACAGACGAGGAGCUUGCUCCUCUGACGUUAGCGGCGGACGGGUGAGUAACACGUGGAUAACCUACCUAUAAGACUGGGAUAACUUCGGGAAACCGGAGCUAAUACCGGAUAAUAUAUUGAACCGCAUGGUUCAAUAGUGAAAGACGGUUUUGCUGUCACUUAUAGAUGGAUCCGCGCCGCAUUAGCUAGUUGGUAAGGUAACGGCUUACCAAGGCAACGAUGCGUAGCCGACCUGAGAGGGUGAUCGGCCACACUGGAACUGAGACACGGUCCAGACUCCUACGGGAGGCAGCAGUAGGGAAUAUUCCGCAAUGGGCGAAAGCUUGACGGAGCAACGCCGCGUGAGUGAUGAAGGUCUUCGGAUCGUAAAACUCUGUUAUUAGGGAAGAACAAAUGUGUAAGUAACUAUGCACGUCUUGACGGUACCUAAUCAGAAAGCCACGGCUAACUACGUG